UCCCUGGCGGUCCAGUGGUUAAGACUCUGCACUUCCGCUGCAGGGGCCCAGGUUCGAUCUCUGGUCAGGGAA